rnacentral:rRNA from 1 species
AUAUUGCACAAUGGGGGAAACCCUGAUGCAGCAACGCCGCGUGAGUGAUGACGGCCUUCGGGUUGUAAAGCUCUGUCUUCAGGGACGAUAAUGACGGUACCUGAGGAGGAAGCCACGGCUAACUACGUGCCAGCAGCCGCGGUAAUACGUAGGUGGCAGGCGUUGUCCGGAUUUACUGGGCGUAAAGGGAGCGUAGGCGGACUUUUAAGUGAGAUGUGAAAUACCCGGGCUCAACCUGGGUGCUGCAUUUCAAACUGGAAGUCUAGAGUGCAGGAGAGGAGAGUGGAAUUCCUAGUGUAGCGGUGAAAUGCGUAGAGAUUAGGAAGAACACCAGUGGCGAAGGCGACUCUCUGGACUGUAACUGACGCUGAGGCUCGAAAGCGUGGGGAGCAAACAG